rnacentral:rRNA from 1 species
UACGGAGGGUGCGAGCGUUGUCCGGAAUCAUUGGGCGUAAAGGGCGCGUAGGUGGCCCGGUCAGUUCGUGGUGAAAGCGCGGGGCUCAACCCUGCGUCGGCCAUGAAUACUGCCGCGGCUGGAGCACUGUAGAGGCAGGCGGAAUUCCGGGUGUAGCGGUGGAAUGCGUAGAGAUCCGGAAGAACACCGGUGGCGAAGGCGGCCUGCUGGGCAGUGCUGCACUGAGGCGCGACAGCGUGGGGAGCAACAGG